rnacentral:rRNA from 1 species
AGCAGCCGCGGUAAUUCCAGCUCCAAUAGCGUAUAUUAAAGUUGUUGCAGUUAAAAAGCUCGUAGUUGAAUUUCGGGAUCAAUACGUCGGUCGUGCUUCGGUACGUACUGGCGUCAUUGAUUUCUCCCUUCUGACGAACCAUGAUGUCAUUAAUUUGGUGUUAUGGGAAAUCAGGACUGUUACUUUGAAAAAAUUAGAGUGCUUAAAGCAGGCUCACGCUUGAAUACAUUAGCAUGGAAUAAUGAAAUAGGACGUUCGAUCCUAUUUUGUUGGUUUUAGGAUCAACGUAAUGAUUAAUAGGGAUAGUUGGGGGCAUUAGUAUUCAAUUGUCAGAGGUGAAAUUCUUGGAUUUAUUGAAGACUAACUACUGCGAAAGCAUUUGCCAAGGAUGUUUUCAUUAAUCAAGAACGAAAGUUAGGGGAUCGAAGACGAUCAGAUACCGUCGUAGUCUUAACCAUAAACUAUGCCGACUAGGGAUCGGAUGAUGUUAAUUUUUUAAUGACUCAUUCGGCGCCUUACG